AAUGGACAGACGGGACAGGAGUGAAAUGACGUUCUGAGUUAACUACACUCCAGGACUUGAACACUUCAGACAAUGAGGACAAACAGGUGACAGGGAUGAAGACUGUGUUGAGCUCGUGUGGUUCUGUGACGCUUCUCAAGAAGCCUGAUCCUCCCUGCCUCUGGUCACAACCCAAGUGUCCUGACAUUAAACAUCCUGGACAUGGAAUCAAAUCAAAUCAAAUCAAACUCUCCCCUACUGAACACAGACGUCAGUGCUUCCUCUGCCCUGAGCCUUUACGUACCCAACACCUGACCUUUGCCCCUGAUGCAGCAGACUGAACAACGGGUUGAACUGUGACCCGGACUAUGUUGAGUAGACUCCAACACCUGACCUCUGACCCUGAUGCAGCAGACUGAACAACGGGUUGACCUGUGACCCGGACCAUGUUCAGUAGACUCCAACACCUGACCUCUGCCCUUGAUGCAGCAGACUGAACAACGGGUUGACCUGUGACCCGGACCAUGUUCAGUAGACUCCAACACCUGACCUCUGCCCUUGAUGCAGCAGACUGAACAACGGGUUGACCUGUGACCUGGACCAUGUUCAGGACCAUGUUCAGUAGACUCCAAUGGGACGAACACAUUUAAACGGGGGAGGUUCUACCAGAAUUGAGCAAAUCGAAACGCUGAAAAAUGUAUUUUUGUUGAUUCUUUGUAUUUUGUCUCAUUGGUUGUUUUUCCUCCUUGUUUAGGAGCUGCUACAGUGUUUCCCAGACCCCAAGUCCUCCCAUUUACCAAUGUUUCCCAAGUCCUCCCCUUUACCAGUGUUUCCCAGACCCCAAGUCCUCCCAUUUACCAAUGUUUCCCAAGUCCUCCCCUUUACCAGUGUUUCCCAGACCCCAAGUCCUCCCAUUUACCAAUGUUUCCCAAACCCCAAGUCCUCCCAUUUACCAAUGUUUCCCAAGUCCUCCCCUUUACCAGUGUUUCCCAAGUCCUCCCCUUUACCAGUGUUUCCCAGACCCCAAGUCCUCCCAUUUACCAAUGUUUCCCAGACCCCAAGUCCUCCCAUUUACCAAUGUUUCCCAGACCCCAAGUCCUCCCAUUUACCAAUGUUUCCCAAGUCCUCCCCUUUACCAGUGUUUCCCAGACCCCAAGUCCUCCCAUUUACCAAUGUUUCCCAAGUCCUCUCCUUUACCAGUGUUUCCCAGACCCCAAGUCCUCCCAUUUACCAAUGUUUCCCAGACUCCAAGUCCUCCCAUUUACCAGUGUUUCCCAGACCCCAAGUCCUCCCCUUUACCAGUGUUUCCCAGACCCCAAGUCCUCCCAUUUACCAAUGUUUCCCAAGUCCUCUCCUUUACCAGUGUUUCCCAGACCCCAAGUCCCCCCUUUACCAGUGUUUCCCAGACUCCAAGUCCUCCCCUUUACCAGUGUUUCCCAGACCCCAAGUCCUCCCCUUUACCAGUGUUUCCCAGACCCCAAGUCCUCCCCUUUACCAGUGUUUCCCAGACCCCAAGUCCCCCCUUUACCAGUUGUUUCCCAUGUCCUGUCCUCCCCUUUACCAGUGUUUCCCAUGUCCUGUCCCCCCUUUACCAGUUGUUUCCCAUGUCCUGUCCCCCCUUUUACCAGUGUUUCCCAUGUCCUGUCCCCCCUUUACCAGUGUUUCCCAUGUCCUGUCCCCCCUUUACCAGUGUUUCCCAU
ensembl:lncRNA